AACGAACGCUGGCGGCAUGCCUAACACAUGCAAGUCGAACGAGACCUUCGGGUCUAGUGGCGCACGGGUGCGUAACGCGUGGGAACCUGCCCUUAGGUUCGGAAUAACUCCCCGAAAGGGGUGCUAAUACCGGAUAAUGUCUUCGGACCAAAGAUUUAUCGCCUUUGGAUGGGCCCGCGUUGGAUUAGCUAGUUGGUAGGGUAAAAGCCUACCAAGGCGACGAUCCAUAGCUGGUCUGAGAGGAUGAUCAGCCACACUGGGACUGAGACACGGCCCAGACUCCUACGGGAGGCAGCAGUGGGGAAUAAUGGACAAUGGGCGAAAGCCUGAUCCAGCAAUGCCGCGUGAGUGAUGAAGGCCUUAGGGUUGUAAAGCUCUUUUACCCGGGAUGAUAAUGACAGUACCGGGAGAAUAAGCUCCGGCUAACUCCGUG
rnacentral:rRNA from 1 species